GCCACUUGCCACAUGGGCCACAGUGUUUGGUAGGAAGCUGCACUCAGGUUGUGCUCAUGCUGUCUGCCAGGACAUUGUGAAGACACAGAGCAGGAUUUGGGAACGCUUCAUGUUUUUUCCAGGUUCAGAUAAAACCAGGCAUAGCCAACAAGACUCAAGGCUAAGAAGACAAACAUCACUUUUGCUUUCUGGACCUACCUCUUCUCCAUCUUCACUAACAAAAACCUUCUGGCUUUAUUCUGUGUUACUAUAACUAAAAUAAUAUUCCCUGCUGUAUGCACAGUUUUCAAACAAAUGACUGUUUCCUAGGUCAACCCUGAUCCUGAGGAAGAUUUUGAUGAAGGUAGCAGAUGCUCUGACCACAGUGUCCAAUAUCUACAUCUCAGAAAGACGGAUGCUGCUCCACACUAAAUCCAUUUCAAGUCAAGACUAAGACCACAUUCCGGAGAAGUAUUUGCCUGUUGCAAUACACAGUGUGAUCAGUAUCUUUCUGUGCUAUCUCAAGAAACACGGCAAUAUGUAUUAAAAGACCAAAAACUGUUCACACUGCACUUGAUAUGUUCAGAUAACCUACCAAUGGUGAGGUAUAAAAAUGAAAGAUAAGUACAAUUUUACCAAGAAGGUGAGAUUUAUUGUAAGGCACACUUAGAGGGACUUUUAUCUGUAGUAGAUUGCUCUCCCUACUCUAAAUAGUUUCAUGAAGUGAAAAAAGAAAAGGUGGAAAGACUAUUAUCUCUGUCUUAAUGGUGAAGUAAAGUUUACUGUCUGUGAUUCCUACAAAUAUUUCCAGUUAAUGCAAUCAAUGAUACAGAGGCUGAGAGAUAUAUUUGAUUCUGGGAAUGAAAGAGUGAAAUAUAUAAUUAGCUGCCUCAGAUAACAGUUUCAGCAGAUGGGUGGGAGAGCAAUGCUUCUAAUGGGCCUUUUUUGACCCAGGGGAGGUUUGCAAUCACUUUUGCUGACUGGAUGCAGUAUUGAGGACACCUGGGAGAUGAGUCUCUCAUAAAUGGGUUUAUGCAAUUUGUCAAACAAGCACAUUUGUGAACAGCACUUUUGU